AUUGAACGCUGGCGGCAUGCCUUACACAUGCAAGUCGAACGGCAGCACGGGAGCAAUCCUGGUGGCGAGUGGCGAACGGGUGAGUAAUAUAUCGGAACGUGCCCAGUCGUGGGGGAUAGCGUAGCGAAAGCUACGCUAAUACCGCAUACGAUCUACGAAUGAAAGCGGGGGAUCGCAAGACCUCGCGCGAUUGGAGCGGCCGAUAUCAGAUUAGCUAGUUGGUGAGGUAAAGGCUCACCAAGGCGACGAUCUGUAGCUGGUCUGAGAGGACGACCAGCCACACUGGAACUGAGACACGGUCCAGACUCCUACGGGAGGCAGCAGUGGGGAAUUUUGGACAAUGGGCGCAAGCCUGAUCCAGCAAUGCCGCGUGCAGGAUGAAGGCCUUCGGGUUGUAAACUGCUUUUGUACAGAACGAAACGGUCCUUUCUAAUACAAAGGGCUAAUGACGGUACUGUAAGAAUAAGCACCGGCUAACUACGUGCCAGCCGCCGCUGUAA
rnacentral:rRNA from 1 species